CCUACGGGGGGCUGCAGUGGGGAAUAUUGGACAAUGGGCGAAAGCCUGAUCCAGCCAUGCCGCGUGUGUGAAGAAGGCCUUCGGGUUGUAAAGCACUUUCAGUGGGGAAGAAAGCCUUGGGGCUAAUACCCUCGAGGAAGGACAUCACCCACAGAAGAAGCCCCGGCUAACCCGUGCCAGCAGCCGCGGUAAUACGGAGGGUGCGAGCGUUAAUCGGAAUUACUGGGCGUAAAGCGCGCGUAGGCGGUCUGAUAAGCCGGUUGUGAAAGCCCCGGGAUCAACCUGGGAACGGCAUCCGGAACUGUCAGGCUAGAGUGCAGGAGAGGAAGGUAGAAUUCCCGGUGUAGCGGUGAAAUGCGUAGAGAUCGGGAGGAAUACCAGUGGCGAAGGCGGCCUUCUGGACUGACACUGACGCUGAGGUGCGAAAGCGUGGGUAGCAAACAGGAUUAGAUACCCUAGUAGUC
rnacentral:rRNA from 1 species